rnacentral:rRNA from 1 species
GGGUUGUGAGGUUAAGCGACUAAGCGUACACGGUGGAUGCCCUGGCAGUCAGAGGCGAUGAAGGACGUGCUAAUCUGCGAUAAGCGCCGGUAAGGUGAUAUGAACCGUUAUAACCGGCGAUUUCCGAAUGGGGAAACCCAGUGUGAUUCGUCACACUAUCAUUAACUGAAUCCAUAGGUUAAUGAGGCGAACCGGGGGAACUGAAACAUCUAAGUACCCCGAGGAAAAGAAAUCAACCGAGAUUCCCCCAGUAGCGGCGAGCGAACGGGGAGGAGCCCAGAGCCUGAAUCAGCAUGUGUGUUAGUGGAAGCGUCUGGAAAGGCGCGCGAUACAGGGUGACAGCCCCGUACACAAAAGCGCAUGUGUUGUGAGCUCGAUGAGUAGGGCGGGACACGUGGUAUCCUGUCUGAAUAUGGGGGGACCAUCCUCCAAGGCUAAAUACUCCUGACUGACCGAUAGUGAACCAGUACCGUGAGGGAAAGGCGAAAAGAACCCCGGCGAGGGGAGUGAAAAAGAACCUGAAACCGUGUACGUACAAGCAGUGGGAGCACAGGUUUACCUGUGUGACUGCGUACCUUUUGUAUAAUGGGUCAGCGACUUAUAUUCUGUAGCAAGGUUAACCGUAUAGGGGAGCCGGAGGGAAACCGAGUCUUAAUUGGGCGUUAAGUUGCAGGGUAUAGACCCGAAACCCGGUGAUCUAGCCAUGGGCAGGUUGAAGGUUGGGUAACACUAACUGGAGGACCGAACCGACUAAUGUUGAAAAAUUAGCGGAUGACCUGUGGCUGGGGGUGAAAGGCCAAUCAAACCGGGAGAUAGCUGGUUCUCCCCGAAAGCUAUUUAGGUAGCGCCUCGUGAAUUCAUCUCCGGGGGUAGAGCACUGUUUCGGCUAGGGGGCCAUCCCGGCUUACCAACCCGAUGCAAACUGCGAAUACCGGAGAAUGUUAUCACGGGAGACACACGGCGGGUGCUAACGUCCGUCGUGAAGAGGGAAACAACCCAGACCGCCAGCUAAGGUCCCAAAGUCAUGGUUAAGUGGGAAACGAUGUGGGAAGGCCCAGACAGCCAGGAUGUUGGCUUAGAAGCAGCCAUCAUUUAAAGAAAGCGUAAUAGCUCACUGGUCGAGUCGGCCUGCGCGGAAGAUGUAACGGGGCUAAACCAU